rnacentral:lncRNA from 1 species
ACUGAAAAAUUUAGAUUAUAAAAUUAUUUCUUAACUGUUUCUUGAGUUUCGUUUUCAUACAUUAUUAACCCAACAACCAAAUAAAAAAACCCACUACCUAUAAUUCAGAUAGAGAUGGUUUGGUUAACUAACAAGAAAUAAUUAAAAGCGUUAAUUACCUAUAUACCCCUCAAAAUUUUUAAAAUAUUUUAUUUUUAUUUCAAAUAAACCCCUAGUAUAUUUUUAUUAUUUAAAAAUACUUUUGCAGUUAAUGCCUGUUAAAUUAUCUCAGAUUAAAUACGGUUUAAAUUUUUACCAAAAUUUAAAAAAAUAAAAUAUUUCUUUUGCUCUUAAUUUAAGUGCAAAUAAGAAAAGCCAGUUACGGUAAAUGAGUAUAUUUAAAGAAAAAAGGCAAAAUAUUUUUUUGUUCCUAACUUAAGUACAAAUAAAAAUAUUUUUGUUCCUAACUUAAAUACAAAUAAAAAAAUUAGUAACGAGAGAUAGGUACAUUUAAAAGAGCAAAAAAAUACUUCACAGAGAUAUUCCAUAGCCCUAUAGUAUUGUGAUGGCCCAACUUUCUAGGUGUCACCCAUCCUACAAUUAUGUGAGGGUCCAACUUUUCAAGGGAUUACUUAUUCUAAACUAUUUUAAUCCUAACAUUCUUAAUUCUCUUAAUUUUUUGGAUCUAAUCAUCUACAAAAUUGUUAUAGACAGGUUAGGAGUUUUAACUCUAUUAUAUUUUAUAUAUAAAAUAAUCUAAGGUCUCACAUUUUCUCUCCAUUUAAGUCCUAACAUUUAUUUUCGGCUCGUAAUUUAUUCUGAUACCAACUAUGACACCCCACUUUCCAACGGGUCAUCCAUCCUAAAACUACUCAAUCCCUAAUGCGCUUAACUUUCUUAACCUCUUAGAUUUAAAUAUCGUCCAAAAUAAUAUAACCGGAUUAAGAGUUUUAGUUAUAUUAUAUGUUAUAUAUAAGAUUAUAUGGGAUCUUACAAAUUCACUAAUAAAAUUUAAUUUUAAAAAUAAAUAAAUAAAUAAAUAAAUAAAUAACUUUUUGAGGUAUGUAUAUGGAGUCCGGCUACUAUACUCUUAUGAGUACGAUCGCCUUCGUACUCAUAAGUUAUUUUCGAUGGUAGAGGUUCCGAAUCGACGAUCCAUACCGUUAAAUAUUUUCUAGAGCGUUUAAAACUUCUAGAAAUCAAAUUUCAUAAUUUUUCGACAUUAGUUACCUUACGAUCAAAAGCUCACAAAAUUAAUAAUUUUUAGCGGCCGGUACGUGAUACUUGCUAGUUUACCGGAGGAAAAAAAUCGGAAUAGAUUGAAUUUUUGAUAGAAAAUUUUAUUCACUACCUAUUAGAUAAAGAUCAAUAACUCCGAUCUUAAAUUGAAAGAUCCGAUCAUCCACUUUAGGACGUUGUUUGAUUUCGACCUUUCAUUUUAUGCCUGCUUGAUGGAUUUUAUUAUGGUUUCUAAAAAUUACGAAAUUUAUUCUCUAGAAUAUGAAUGUCAAUGGGUAUGGAUAUCCGAAAUUUUAUUCGAAUUCGAACUCGAAUGAAACGGAUAUAUCCGAUGGAUAUGGAUAUGGAUUUGGAUGUGGAUAUAAAAAAUAAAAACCCGACGGAUAUG